rnacentral:ncRNA from 1 species
UUACGGUUCCGCAAGGAUCAAUAGGGAAUCCGGUGUGAGUCCGGAACAAUACCCGUUGCUGUAAUUCCCCGCCGCCGUCAGGGGGUUUCACAUCUGUGCCACUGUCCAUUACAGGAUGGGAAGGCGUGAGACCCGGGAAGAGUCAGAAGACCUGCCGGAAUGCUU